AUACGUAGGUGACAAGCGUUAUCCGGAUUUACUGGGCGUAAAGGGCGUGUAGGCGGUCUUGCAAGUCAGAAGUGAAAUUCCUGAGCUCAACUCGGGCGCUGCUUCUGAAACUGCAGGACUUGAGUGCUGGAGUGGAUAGCUGAAUUCCUAGUGGAGCGGUAAGGUGCGCAGAUAUUAGGAAGAACACCGGUGGCGAAGGCGGUUAUCUGGAAAGUAACUGACGCUGAGUCGCGAAAGCGGGGGGAGAAAACAGGAUUGGAUACCGUGGUCGUCCACGCCGUAAACGAUGAAUACUAGGUGUGGGGGGACUGACCCCCUCCGUGCCGCAGUUAAAACAAUAAGUAUUCCACCUGGGGAGUACGAUCGCAAGAUUGAAACUCAAAGGAAUUGACGGGG
rnacentral:rRNA from 1 species